rnacentral:rRNA from 1 species
CCUACGGGGUGCAGCAGUGGGGAAUAUUGCACAAUGGGGGAAACCCUGAUGCAGCGACGCCGCGUGAGUGAAGAAGUAAUUCGUUAUGUAAAGCUCUAUCAGCAGGGAAGAAAAUGACGGUACCUGAGUAAGAAGCCCCGGCUAACUACGUGCCAGCAGCCGCGGUAAUACGUAGGGGGCAAGCGUUAUCCGGCUUUACUGGGUGGAAAGGGAGCGUAGACGGCAGUGCAAGUCUGGAGUGAAGGGCGGGGGCUCAACCCCCGGACUGCUCUGGAAACUGUACGGCUGGAGUGCAGGAGAGGUAAGUGGAAUUCCUAGUGUAGCGGUGAAAUGCGUAGAUAUUAGGAGGAACACCAGUGGCGAAGGCGGCUUACUGGACUGUAACUGACGUUGAGGCUCGAAAGCGUGGGGAGCAAACAGGAUUAGAUACCCUUGUAGUC